rnacentral:rRNA from 1 species
GAUGAACGCUGGCGGCGUGCCUAAUACAUGCAAGUCGAGCGAACAGACGAGGAGCUUGCUCCUCUGACGUUAGCGGCGGACGGGUGAGUAACACGUGGAUAACCUACCUAUAAGACUGGGAUAACUUCGGGAAACCGGAGCUAAUACCGGAUAAUAUAUUGAACCGCAUGGUUCAAUAGUGAAAGACGGUUUUGCUGUCACUUAUAGAUGGAUCCGCGCCGCAUUAGCUAGUUGGUAAGGUAACGGCUUACCAAGGCAACGAUGCGUAGCCGACCUGAGAGAGUGACCGGCCACACUGGAACUGAGACACGGUCCAGACGCUUACGGGAGGCAGCAGGAGGGAAUCUUCCGCAAUGGGCGAAAGCCUGACGGAGCAACGCCGCGUGAGUGAUGAAGGUCUUCGGAUCGUAAAACUCUGUUAUUAGGGAAGAACAAAUGUGAAAGUAACUAUGCACGUCUUGACGGUACCUAAUCAGAAAGCCACGGCUAACUACGUG